rnacentral:rRNA from 1 species
CAGUCGCCGCGGGAAUACGAAGGGGGCUAGCGUUGCUCGGAAUGACUGGGCGUAAAGGGCGCGUAGGCGGCGAUCAAAGUCAGGCGUGAAAUUCCUGGGCUCAACCUGGGGGCUGCGUUUGAUACUUGAUUGCUUGAGUGGGGAAGAGGGUCGUGGAAUUCCCAGUGUAGAGGUGAAAUUCGUAGAUAUUGGGAAGAACACCGGUGGCGAAGGCGGCGACCUGGUCCUUUACUGACGCUGAGGCGCGAAAGCGUGGGGAGCAAACAGGAUUAGAUACCCCGGUAGUCCCUGUCUCUUAUAC